UCUCUCACCAUUUAGUGAAGGACAGAAAGCAGAACCAGGAUGACAGGAGCUAAAGGAGAGAAGAUGAAAACAACCUUUUCUCAACCUCCUCUCCUGGCCUGAGGCUAACCUCUCACAAUAUGUGGCAAUGGCCCCCAUAGUUCCUUAACUAACUAAUUAACGAUUUAAUUCAAUUUUUUAAAAACUGCCUUGACCCACAUUUUCCUCCAUCUAGUGACCCAUCUCUCGGAUUACCUUUCCAGGAAAAUUCCUCAAGUGUUGUUUACAUGAACUAUGUCUCCUUUCUCUUCCCCAGUUCUCUCCUGAACCUCUGAAACUGCUCUUGACACCAUCACCAGUGGCCUCUGAGCUGCCGGAUUCAAUGUGCAGCCAGAAUGAUCCUAUUAAACCCUGCAUCUGAUUAUCAUCUUUCUGUUUACAAACAUCCAAUGUCUUCUCAGUGAAAGUCAAAGUCCUUACAAGGGGUCCAUAAGGCCCUGUGUGGUCUUGUCCCCCAUUACCUCUCUUGUCUCCCAUUAGCUUUUUGCCUGCUGCUGUUCCUUUCACUCACUGACCUCCAGUUCCACUAGCCUCUUUGCUUUUCCUAAACAUAUCAAACCCAUUUCUGCCUCAUGGUCUUUGUAUUUACUGUUUCUUCUACCAGAAGUGCCUAGAUAUCCACAUGGCUCACCCUCUAACUUUAUUCAGGUCCCUGCUUAAAUGUUGCUUCCUCAGGGAGCCUUCUUGACCAAAACCCCACCUCUCUACUCUGUCCUCUUAAUUGGCUUUCUUUUUCUUCAUUGCCUGUAUCACCAGCUGAUAUUUCAUAUAUUUCUAUGUUUGUGUGGUCUGUCUGCCCUUUCUUCACUGUAAUCUUUAUGAAGGCUGAAAUUUUGGAGUAUCGAGUUCACUGUCGUAUCCCAACAGCUAGAGUAGUCCCUUGUGCAUAGUGGGUGCUUAAUAAAUGUUUAUUGAAUGAAAGGUUCACUUCCUGGAGGCAAGAACUAACCAGGCAGGUGAGAAGAGAAGAUUCUGGGGAGACGAAAUGGCAACUGAAAGCCACUCAUAGAGGCCUGAGAGGACUCAGCAGAUUCAACAACUUAGGAGUAGUUCUAACUGACUCUGAAGGACCCUCUCCAUUAAUACCCAUGUCCUUUCAAGGGUCUCUUGCAGAGUGCUAACCCUUCAUUCCAGCGUUAUCAGGCCAUUGCCCAACUUGUUCCAGGGAGAAAGUCUUGCGCUUCAUGAUGGCUAAUUGCUCUCCCUUCCUGAGGAGCUCCCACUUGAGGAGAAGUAUUUGGGGUCGGGGGGUAAGCGGAGGGCCUCCGGAGGGAAGGAAGUGAAGAUACUAGAGGAGGGAAGAGCUCUCACGUUAAUCCUGUGGGUUCAUUACACUGGAAAGGUGGGUCCAGGAAAACCACGUUUGGCAGGUAACGGGCCUUGCCUGUGUGACUCAGCAGCCUCCAGCAUGGCAGCAAAGCUGAGUUGAUGGAAGGAAGCAUAGUUCCCCAAGGCCUAAUGAGUGAGGUUGUAAAGAGCUCACCAAAACGCAUUACAAAGCCAUUCACUGUCCCAGCAAGAUGCUUCAAAACCAGGCUCAGAACUAAUCCCAAAAGAGGGCGUCUUGACCCAAGUUCACAAUGCAUGUGAACAAGUCACCUGGCAUUUGCCAGGAGGCCUUAGUUCCAUGCAAACUAGGAAACUAACAAAGUUCCGCUGAGUGUGUGGCCCAUUAAUAAGGGCCACUGACUCCCAAAGACUCUGGGAUUUAGAUACUCAACCUCCACAAUGAGGCUGCUUCAUGCUCCUCUUGUUUCUUCCACUGAAGCAUCCCAAAGUGCUUUCCCAGGGUGGAUUAUUCAUCCCAUUAGGUGGAUGAGGCUCAGUGAAGCCAAGUCUUGCCUGCAGACACCCAGCAAGUCAGUUCUUGAGGUCGGAAUUGAGACCCAGACCCCCCAGCUGUAUUGUGGCCAGGGGAUAGCACUCUCUGGGAGACUCCAUAGGACAGCAGAGGCCAUGAGGCAAGCUUCUUGCAUGGGAACUGAAGCAGAUGAAGGGGCUGGGGCAGGCGCGGGGGUGGAGCACUGCAGAGCCAUCAGCAGAGCAGGAAAAACAACUCAGCACUCAUCCUACCUGAGGUGUGUCAGUGGCAUUUUCUUUC
rnacentral:lncRNA from 1 species